GAACCACGUACCUAUAUAUCUUAAUAAAAAAAAUGUACUGUUUAAUCUUAAUGUAUUAAGUAAUUUCAUUUAAGAUAAGUUCUUCGGAUACAGGAAAAAAGAAGGAAAAGACAACAUACACAGAAGAAGACUUAAAGAAAGCAUUAAAUGAUAUUCGAGAGAAGAAUAAAUCGAUAAAAAAAAUAUUCAAAGAAUAUGCCUUGUCUGAUAAUUUAUUGACUCAACAAUUCUUUUAGUUGUAUGUUUAGACAAAAUUGUUAUAUUGUUUUGUUAAUUUAAUAUGGCCAAAAACUUACUAUAAUCAACGCGGGUCUUUCCCUGUGAUUUUAGGGUAAAAUUAACAGAACUGAUUACUGUUUAUUUUUCAAGUUGCAAAAUUAAUUGCCUAAUUUUAAGUUACUUAAACCAAUGUUGAGAAAAAUUAUUUUUAUUUUUUUAAAGUGAAUUUUAAAUGAUGAUAAUGUUGAUUUUUAAUUUAAAAUAACAAAAAAAAAUAAAAAAUUUACUGUUUAAACUUAAUAUAUUAAACAGUACCCAUGUUUUAAUUAUUUUUUAUAAGCAAGUAUUUAACGAAAACAGUGGACGCAAUUUGGUUUAUUAGUAUAGAGGAUAGUUUUAGUUCGCGUCCAUUGUGGACGCAAAGUGGAAGUUUUGUAAAAUUCGAUGUAGUAAUUCGCGUCCACCUUAUUUUAUUCGUUAAAUAUAAAAAACAUUACCAAAUUCAUAAAAAACAUUAUACCUUUAUUCAUCAUUAAACUGUAGAAAUAGCUAUCUAUCCUAAAAUUCACAUAAAACAAUAUAAAACUUACCAUCAAACACGCCGCUGCACACUAAUUUUUAUCUAAAAUUCAACGUGUUUGCGCUUUCUUGUUGAAGAGCCUAGACUAAUUAUUUUUUCUAAAAGAAUUGGUUGGACGGACAGAACUUUUGUAUAUCUGUGCGUGCCUCUUAUACAUUAACGUAUUAGCGGUAAUGAUCUUUCGUUUGAUUGGUGUGUUAAUUAUCUUGUUUUCGAAGUUUUUUUAAAGGAGAUCGGCAAAAUGGACGCGAACUGGGCGAUGGUCGCGAACAGGCGAAAUGACCCUACCACUAAUAUUAGUAAAUUCCUUCAGUUAACAUAAGUACAAACUUAUAUUUCAACCGCAUUCUUUUGUUUAGUCAACAGCUAAAUACCUAUUUUACACGCCAUCUUUUCUUAUUAUUCCUUCCUACCUACCAACAUGGAGGAUAUCAAAAUAAAAGUUAAAAUACUGCAAGCUAAAAACAAUGCUAUUUACGAACGCUUAACUUCAUUGUAUGAAUCUUCUAAGAAAAUAAAUAUAACUAAUAUGGAGCUUCGUUCUGCGGAGAUAUUCAUGGCAGACACGGAGAUUCUUUCUGUAAUCCGCCAGGAAUUUAGUUCCAACCUUGAUAAACUAAACGCAUACCUUUUACAAUUAAAUCCUGAUCAUACAGUCGAAUAUAGUAGCCUCAUCUCAUUCGACGGUGUUUACACUCGGGUAGAACGAGUUCGUUCUCUUAUCAUGACUUGUCGUUCAAAAUCGUCGACGAGCUCAACGUCGCACGAGAGCGCCGCGCAAAAUAAAGGUGUAGUCAAACUACCACCGAUUCACAUUCCUUCCUUUGAUGGUAAAAUAAAUAACUGGCCGGUUUUCUAUGAAUCAUUUAAAUCAAAUAUCCACAAUAACUCUAAUCUUACAGAUUCCCAACGAGUUCAAUAUUUAGUAGGUAGUCUCAAAGGCAACGCUUUACAAAUUACCGCCGGAAUUAUUCCGUGCGGAGAAAAUUACUCAGCUAUUUGGGACAGUUUAGUAAAAAAAUACCAAGAUAAACGGGCACUUGGUUCGCAUUAUCUUUCUAAUAUUUUCAAUAUUAAACCCGCAAUUAACAAUUCUAUUUCAUUGAAUAAUUUCAUAGAAAGUUUUCACGCGUCAGUUUCAGCUUUAGAACAAUUACAGAUCAAAGACCUAAAAGAUUUUAUUUUAUUAAAUUUAGCUUUGAAAAAAUUAGAUCCUGCUACAGUACAAUUAUUUGAAAUGCAUAUGAGAGAUGAGGAGAUUCCUACUUACACGGAUUUCGUUGAAUUUAUAAAAUCGCAAGUUAAAAUAUUAGAUCGCACAACAUCAUCUCGAUACGCUCCAGUGAGUAAUCACCCUAAUAAAAGUAUUUCUCCCGCGCCGCGUACUCAGUCACGUGAUACUAGCACGGUACAUACUUUCGUUACUUGUGACAAUAAUAACCAGUCUUGUUUGUAUUGCAGUAAACAUGAUCAUUUUAAACUUUAUAUUUGUCCAUCUUUUCAAUCGAUUUCACCCAAUUCGCGUUUGGAUUUUAUUAAAACCAAACGGGGAUGUGUAAACUGUCUUAGUGCUACGCACACUGCUUCACAGUGUAAAUCUAUACAUACUUGUAAACAGUGUAAUAAGAAGCAUCAUUCACUUUUACAUCUUGAUAAUAAUAACUCGCAAACGCAGCCUUCUCGCGCGCCCACGGUUGAGUCGGCCGUCGCUGACGCUAGUUCCGCGACCUCGCAACAGGUGGCGCUAUGUGCAUGCGCUAGCGUAGGUAAAACACCGCGUUCUACAAUACUUCUUUCGACUGCGCAAGUAUACGUGGACACUAAACAUAAUAAAUACAUUUCUGUCAGAUGUUUAAUAGAUAAUGCUUCUCAAAAUAAUAUAAUUACGUCCGCUUGUUGUAAAAAACUGCAAUUAGAUAUUAACCCGCUUUCAAAUUCAUUUAUAAAGGGCGUUGGAACCUCAUCGCGUCCUAUCUUAGGUUACGUUGAUAUAAUUGUUUCCGCGAAAGAUAAAACAGUUUCUUUCAAAAUUACCGCGCUUGUUGUCGAUUGCAUAACAGAUAACUUACCAUCUCACUUUGUUGACACUUCUACAGUGCAACAUUUGUUCGAGUUACCGCUCGCUGACCCACUAUGGCAUAUACCUGGUGAGGUGGAAUUGCUACUAGGGGCAAAGCUGUUCCCGUAUUUAUUAUUAAAUAACAAAAUUAUCUCACCUGCCGCGCCGUCCGCUAUUGAAACCGUGUUUGGUUACAUUCUUAUGGGUGAGGUACCCGCUAGUUUAUCUAAUAAAAAUUAUAGUCCCGCAUCCAGUGAAUUAAAUACUGCCUCAUAUUUUUCUACCGCAUUAAACAUCGAUAAUACUCAUUGUUUUCUUACUUUAGAAGAAUCUUUACAUAAAUUUUGGAACAUCGAAGAAGUACCUUCAAAAUCUUUCAUGAGCCCUGCCGAACUUGAGUGUGAGCAGUUGUACGCUUCUUCUGUGUCACGCGACGCUAGUGGUAGGUAUUGUACCGCGUUACCUUUUUGUAAAAAUCCAGAUUCACUUGGAAAUUCUUAUGCUGUCGCUUAUCGACGUUUUAUUCAUUUAGAAAAUACUAAACUUCGCGACCCUGCUUUGCGCGAUAGUUAUAACAAAAUAAUUAAAGAAUAUCUCGAUCAAAAUUAUUUAACAGAAAUUACGUCUAGUUCCUCUGAUAAAUCAGUGGGUUAUUAUAUACCACAUCACCCUGUUAUUAGAGAUGAUAAACAAACCACAAAAGUCCGCAUUGUCCUUGACGCAAGUGCUAAGUCUCACAAUGGCGUGUCAUUGAAUGAUCUGUUGCAUACAGGGCCGAAUUUACAGGCUGAUAUAUUUUUAUUACUUUUAGAUUUCCGAUUGUUUCCUAUAGCAGUUACAUCUGAUUUAAAACAAAUGUAUCUUCAAGUGGCUGUUAUUGAUGAGCAUAGAAAAUACCAAAAAAUAUUAUUUCGCUUUAAUACCGCAGAACCUAUUCGCGAGUUUCAAUUUAAUCGCGUCGCAUUUGGUCUGAAGUCCAGUCCCUUUCUAGCCAUGCGCACUGUGCGCCAGCUAUCAGAGGAUGAAAAACAUCGUUUCCCUCGCGCGUCCAUCGUUGCUUCGCAUGAUCUUUACAUGGAUGACCUGGCUUAUUCUAUUCCUUCACUGGAGGAAGCCAAGGUUCUAUCCGCUGAACUCAUCGACUUAUUUAAGGCCGGGGGCUUUGACCUUGUGAAGUGGGCAAGUAACUCUCCGGAACUACUUGAUGCCGUUCCACAUUCUAACCGCUCUUCCAUUAACUUCUCUGAUGGGGACAAUAUAAAAAUUCUCGGACUCAAAUGGAUUCCUUCUGAAGAUUGUUUCACUUUUACCACAUCUGACUUAGAUAAACGUUGCACUAAACGUUCCAUACUUUCCACGGUUGCUCGUCUGUGGGAUGUUCUAGGUUUUGUUGCUCCUGUAGUUUUAUUCGCGAAGCUACUUAUUAAAGAAUUAUGGAAAUUAAAUACGGAUUGGGAUGAGACUCCGCCCGAUUCUAUCGUGCAUCUCUUCCAGCAAUUUAGUGAGCAAUUGCCUUUACUUUCUACGCUAAAGAUACCGCGUCACGUAGCCGUUUCUAUGGGUUGCGUGAUUAAUAUAGUAGGUUUUGCUGACGCCAGCAUGAAGGCAUAUGGCUGCGUCAUAUACUUACAUGUCACUGAUACAAAUGGUAACACACACGUAUCUUUGGUGUGUGCUAAAUCCAAAGUCGCACCUGUUAAGGUCGUAUCUCUGGCUCGUCUAGAGCUAUGUGCCGCUCUUCUUUUGUCAAAAUUAAUUAAACUAGUUUAUGACACUUACCGCUCCCGUACCGCUAUUAAUAAUAUAUUUGCCUUUUCCGAUUCUACUAUUACGCUUUCAUGGAUUCAUUCCUCACCGCACAAAUGGAACACUUUUGUCAGUAACCGCGUCGCUAAAUGUCAAGAAAAUCUUGAUCCUAAAUAUUUUUAUCACAUUAACGGUAAAGAAAAUCCUAGUGAUUGUCUGUCUCGAGGUCUUCUACCUGAACAGAUUUUAAAUCAUGAUUUAUGGUGGCAUGGCCCUGAGUGGCUUAUGCUUCCAACCGCUGAGUGGCCUAUCACUCCUUUUGUGUCUUCAUGCAACGAACAAUUACCUGAAUUUAAUAGUAAAACUUUAACGUUAGUUACUACCGCUUCUGAAAUCAAUUUAAUAUAUAACCUUUCUCAAAAAAAUUUCCUCGCUAAAUAAAAUAUUACACAUAAUAGUAUACAUUCUGAGAUUUUUGCGCCUUAUUCCUUAUGACAAAUUACAAAAGGUUAUUACUGUACGCGAGUUAGCUGCCGCUGAGACUUAUUUGAUUCGUUGCGUUCAACGACAUCAUUUUAAACAUAUCUACGAUGAAAUUAACAGUAAAAAACUUUCCACUCAAUUUAAAAAACUCGACCUUUUUAUAGACGAGCAGGGUAUAAUUAGAAUCGGAGGCAGGCUUUCCAAUGCUGAUCUUCCCUAUGAGGCUCAGCAUCCCGCACUCUUGCCAAAAGGCGAUAAAUUUACACAUAUUCUAAUAGAUUAUUAUCACCGCGUUCAUUGCCACACUGGCGCAAAUGUUUUGACUUCUCUUUUGCGACAAAAAUAUUGGAUCCUCUCUUCUAGAGGUGUUAUAAGAAAGAGAUUACAUGCUUGUAACUUCUGUUUUAAACUUUCUCCUUCUCACUCCAGCCCAAAAAUGGCUGAUUUACCCGCUUGUCGCGUACAAGAGACUAAAGCUUUUGUUCAUACGGGUGUGGACUAUGCUGGUCCCAUCAAAAUAACUUUAUGUAGACGCCGCGGUCAAAAAAGUCAAAAGGCUUACAUAUGCCUAUUCAUUUGUUUUGUUACCAAGGCAGUUCAUAUUGAAUUAGUCACAGACUUAUCAUCUGAUACAUUUAUCUCCGCUUUUAAAAGAUUUAUUUCCCGCAGAGGACCAGUUUCUUGUCUAUAUUCAGACAACGGAACAAAUUUCGUAGGAGCCAAGGCUCAAUUGCAAGAAUUAUUUGCUGACCGCUACCGCAUAGACUGGAAAAUGAUUCCACCCCGCGCUCCCCACUUUGGAGGGUUGUGGGAAUCUAAUAUAAAAUCUAUAAAAACUCAUUUAUACCGCGUUAUUGGUUCCCAACUUCUUACCUAUGAGGAGCUUUCGACUGUUCUCACCGAGAUUGAGGCAGUUCUAAACUCGAGACCGCUUUGUGUCCUGAAUGAGGAUCCGUAUCCAGAACCGCUUACCCCCGCGCAUUUUAUAAUGGCUUCUCCAUUAACUUCCUUGCCUGUCGUGGAUGUUCCCGACACAACGAAGUCUCUAACUUGCCGCAAGAAAUUACUUGACCAAAUGAUUUGUAGCUACUGGAAACGCUGGCGUAUAGAAUAUUUACAUAAUCUUCAAGUUAGACAAAAAUGGUUGAAUGCUGUAGACAAUAUUAAAAUUGGUACAGUGGUUCUCAUACAUCAAGAUGAUCUUCCUCCUUUACGUUGGCCAAUGGGUGUAAUAACCGAAGUUUUUCCCGGCAAGGAUGGGACAACCCGCGUAGCCAUGGUGAAGACAUGCAGUGGCUCUUUUAAGAGACCUGUUGUCAAACUAUGUCCUUUACCAUCUCAAUAAUAUUACCGCGUAAUCCUAACUUAAUAUUAGCUUACUUUACUUAGUAUACUUACUUUUAAUUUCUUUAAUUUCCUUUUGAGAAUACUACAUAUCCUCAAAGCCGGGGAGAAUGCUCGCGCAAGUUUUACAUUUUUUAAUUUCAUUAACUAUAUUGUUUCUAAUGCAAUUUCUGAACGCAUCUUUUCUAACGUUUUAUACUUCCGCAACCGCACAGUAUGAGUUGGCUAUCCUUCCCUUUCCCUCCUAUCCCGCUACAAUACACCAGAAGGAGAAGGAAGAUGCGCCGCGCGCACCAACUCUCGGCGCGACUAGCGCCGCAACGCUCCCGCCGUUGUAUUCCGAAAACUUUCGAAUCACCGCGACACCGCUCCGCAUUUUAUGUAAAAAUAAAUUAAAUAACCGCACCGAUUCAUCUCAAACCGCUUAAAAUCUGUGUUAGUGUAGCCGGCACACAAGAACUAAUCGUGAGUGACAGUGUAUUUAACCUACGCGUAAAGGAAACAGCAUCGCAGGCCUGCAACAACGUGCUCGUCCACCAUCCAGCACAAGAGAGCAUGAGUUGGACGAAAGCUUGGAGAAGAUAGGCGCAACAGUGACGCAGGUGUACGAGCACCCGUAUGCUGCCACGCUCAACAAGAAUGACACCUACAUCUGCAGCGCGGUUGUACUGAACACUUAUUGGCUGCUAAC
rnacentral:misc_RNA from 1 species